GAGCUCAUUGAUCAUCAUAACAGAGUCUAUUGAAAGUCCUCAGCAGGCGGUGUGACGAUGUGACCAGCUCUGGCCAAGGAGCUGUAGGCAGAAGUGUCUUGCAGCAGCUCCUGUAAAUCUUAAAAGACAGCUGGUGCGUGUCUUUUUUCCUUUUUUUUUCCCUUCCCCCUUCCUGCUGCGCUGAAUAUGGAUAUGGUGAGUGAAUCUAGAGCAGCCAUUUGGAGGUAUGAAGAGAUCUUGGAAAUAGAGGCCAUGUGUGUUGAAACAAGACCGAACAACUCCAAGUUCCUGAAGACUUCAUUUCACCAACCCAGAACCUCCUUGAUCAUCACAGUGUUCAAAUGGUUUCCAGCAACAUUCCUACCACCUACUUUGCUGACACAAAGGUGCAUAAACAGAAGUCCUAUGUGGUCGAACCAUUUUACAUUUUCACCAGCAAUGAAGGAGGGUUCCUGUUGCUCUACCAUUUGGUACUGUCAGCGUUUUGGAUAUUAGCCGUCCUAAUAGGUGCAAUGAAUGUGUCCUGCUCUUACUUGGGAUAGGUUCAAAAAUAAAUGCAAUUGAAAAAAAAUCUCCUGGGGCCAGGCGUGGUGGCUCACGCCUGUAAUCCUAGCACUUUGGGAGGCCGAAGUGGGCAGAUCAUGAAGUCAAGAGAUCGAGACUAUCCUGGCCAACAUGGUGAAACCUCAUCUCUCCUAAAAAUACAAAAAAUUAGCUGAGUAUGGUGGCACAUGUCUGUAAUCCCAGCUACUCGGGAGGCUGAGGCAGGAGAAUGGCUUGAACCCGGGAGGCAGAGGUUGCAGUGAGCCAAGAUCGUGCCACUGCACUCCAGCCUGGGUGACAGGGCUCAGACUCCGUCUAAACAAACAAAAAAAAUCUCCUGGAAGUCCCAUUUGAUCUUGGUUACAUGAGCUUACUAGAGAAUUUUGUUGUUCCCAACAUUAGCUGAGAAAUGUACUCUAAGAAGUGAAUAGACUAAAGUGGAACCAGGGUGCAGUGGAGAACGAGAGCUGUUAUCUAGAAAACCUUUCUCAGGCAUGUUUCAGCACACUCUGCUCCUGACGAUGGCUCUAUCAUCAAAGAAUUCUGUGGUCAGGUGUAUGGGAUAUGCUGCAUAGGCUCCCUAUGAGCCUCCAAAUUGUAAGUUAAAGGCUCUGAGAGCUUGGCAGUAAGUAGAAGACUCCUGGUCACAUUUGUUUAACCCAGUGUUUCCCAAACUCAUUUGGCCUUGGAACUCUAUUUCUUGGGACAUUUAUUAGCUGCUGGUGGAACCAGUGUUCAAAAAAUUACUCCCUAGACAAUUUAGGCAAAACAUCUUUUCUAUAAAUAA
rnacentral:lncRNA from 1 species